rnacentral:rRNA from 1 species
CGGCAAGACGGAAAGACCCCGUGAACCUUUACUAUAGCUUGACACUGAACAUUGAGCCUUGAUGUGUAGGAUAGGUGGGAGGCUUUGAAGCGUGGACGCCAGUCUGCGUGGAGCCGACCUUGAAAUACCACCCUUUAAUGUUUGAUGUUCUAACGUGGACCCGUAAUCCGGGUUGCGGACAGUGUCUGGUGGGUAGUUUGACUGGGGCGGUCUCCUCCUAAAGAGUAACGGAGGAGCACGAAGGUUGGCUAAUCCUGGUCGGACAUCAGGAGGUUAGUGCAAUGGCAUAAGCCAGCUUGACUGCGAGCGUGACGGCGCGAGCAGGUGCGAAAGCAGGUCAUAGUGAUCCGGUGGUUCUGAAUGGAAGGGCCAUCGCUCAACGGAUAAAAGGUACUCCGGGGAUAACAGGCUGAUACCGCCCAAGAGUUCAUAUCGACGGCGGUGUUUGGCACCUCGAUGUCGGCUCAUCACAUCCUGGGGCUGAAGUAGGUCCCAAGGGUAUGGCUGUUCGCCAUUUAAAGUGGUACGCGAGCUGGGUUUAGAACGUCGUGAGACAGUUCGGUCCCUAUCUGCCGUGGGCGCUGGAGAACUGAGGGGGGCUGCUCCUAGUACGAGAGGACCGGAGUGGACGCAUCACUGGUGUUCGGGUUGUCAUGCCAAUGGCACUGCCCGGUAGCUAAAUGCGGAAGAGAUAAGUGCUGAAAGCAUCUAAGCACGAAACUUGCCCCGAGAUGAGUUCUCCCUGAGACUUAGAGUCUCCUGAAGGAACGUUGAAGACGACGACGUUGAUAGGCCGGGUGUGUAAGCGCAGCGAUGCGUUGAGCUAACCGGUACUAAUGAACCGUGAGGCUUAACCUUAC